rnacentral:rRNA from 1 species
AGAGUUUGAUCCUGGCUCAGGAUGAACGCUAGCUACAGGCUUAACACAUGCAAGUCGAGGGGAAACGACAUCGAAAGCUUGCUUUUGAUGGGCGUCGACCGGCGCACGGGUGAGUAACGCGUAUCCAACCUGCCCACCACUUGGGGAUAACCUUGCGAAAGUAAGACUAAUACCCAAUGACGUCUCUAGAAGACAUCUGAAAGAGAAUUAAAGAUUUAUCGGUGAUGGAUGGGGAUGCGUCUGAUUAGCUUGUUGGGCGGGGUAACGGCCACCGAAGGCGACGAUCAGGUAGGGGUUCUGAGGAGGAACGGUCCCCCACAGUUGGAACUGAGACACGGUACCAAACUCCGUACGGGAGGCA